rnacentral:rRNA from 1 species
UAGGGAAUCUUCCGCAAUGGACGCAAGUCUGACGGAGCAACGCCGCGUGAGUGAAGAAGGAUUUCGGUUCGUAAAACUCUGUUGUUAGAGAAGAACAGCGCAUAGAGUAACUGUUAUGCGUGUGACGGUAUCUAACCAGAAAGCCACGGCUAACUACGUGCCAGCAGCCGCGGUAAUACGUAGGUGGCAAGCGUUGUCCGGAUUUAUUGGGCGUAAAGCGAGCGCAGGCGGUUAGAUAAGUCUGAAGUUAAAGGCAGUGGCUCAACCAUUGUAGGCUUUGGAAACUGUUUAACUUGAGUGCAGAAGGGGAGAGUGGAAUUCCACGUGUAGCGGUGAAAUGCGUAGAUAUAUGGAGGAACACCGGUGGCGAAAGCGGCUCUCUGGUCUGUAACUGACGCUGAGGCUCGAAAGCGUGGGGAGCGAACAGG